rnacentral:lncRNA from 1 species
GACCGUGAAGUGGGGGUAAUCCGGUAAUUCCAUAAGAAGAUCCUCAGGAGUGUUACUUCUCCUGCCAAAAUAAACUCAACCCAAAAUUUCGGCCGGUCAUACGAAGAGUUUCUGAAGUACGUCUCCUCGUGUUGAGACAAGCCAAGCCGAAACCUUGUGCUAAGAUAAGCCGAGCUCGAAAUCUUGUACCAACACUACUUGAAGGUUGUAUCAGUAAGAAAAAUAUCUACCCAAAUAGCAAACCUCGGCUUGAGAAUGUCGGAGCACAAACCGAAGUUGAAAACUUCGAAAAAUA